rnacentral:rRNA from 1 species
CAGGCUUAACACAUGCAAGUCGAGGGGCAGCAUUUUAGUUUGCUUGCAAACUGAAGAUGGCGACCGGCGCACGGGUGAGUAGCACGUAUCCAACCUGCCGAUAACUCCGGAAUAGCCUUUCGAAAGAAAGAUUAAUACCGGAUGGCAUACGAAUAUCGCAUGAUAUUUUUAUUAAAGAAUUUCGGUUAUCGAUGGGGAUGCGUUCCAUUAGUUUGUUGGCGGGGUAACGGCCCACCAAGACUACGAUGGAUAGGGGUUCUGAGAGGAAGGUCCCCCACAUUGGAACUGAGACACGGUCCAAACUCCUACGGGAGGCAGCAGUGAGGAAUAUUGGUCAAUGGGCGCGAGCCUGAACCAGCCAAGUAGCGUGAAGGAUGAAGGCUCUAUGGGUCGUAAACUUCUUUUAUAUGGGAAUAAAGUUUUCCACGUGUGGAAUUUUGUAUGUACCAUAUGAAUAAGGAUCGGCUAACUCCGUGCCAGCAGCCGCGGUAAUACGGAGGAUCCGAGCGUUAUCCGGAUUUAUUGGGUUUAAAGGGAGCGUAGGUGGAUUGUUAAGUCAGUUGUGAAAGUUUGCGGCUCAACCGUAAAAUUGCAGUUGAAACUGGCAGUCUUGAGUACAGUAGAGGUGGGCGGAAUUCGUGGUGUAGCGGUGAAAUGCUUAGAUAUCACGAAGAACUCCGAUUGCGAAGGCAGCUCACUAGACUGUCACUGACACUGAUGCUCGAAAGUGUGGGUAUCAAACAGGAUUAGAUACCCUGGUAGUCCACACAGUAAACGAUGAAUACUCGCUGUUUGCGAUAUACAGUAAGCGGCCAAGCGAAAGCAUUAAGUAUUCCACCUGGGGAGUACGCCGGCAACGGUGAAACUCAAAGGAAUUGACGGGGGCCCGCACAAGCGGAGGAACAUGUGGUUUAAUUCGAUGAUACGCGAGGAACCUUACCCGGGCUUAAAUUGCAACAGAAUAUAUUGGAAACAGUAUAGCCGUAAGGCUGUUGUGAAGGUGCUGCAUGGUUGUCGUCAGCUCGUGCCGUGAGGUGUCGGCUUAAGUGCCAUAACGAGCGCAACCCUUAUCUUUAGUUACUAACAGGUCAUGCUGAGGACUCUAGAGAGACUGCCGUCGUAAGAUGUGAGGAAGGUGGGGAUGACGUCAAAUCAGCACGGCCCUUACGUCCGGGGCUACACACGUGUUACAAUGGGGGGUACAGAAGGCGGCUACCUGGUGACAGGAUGCUAAUCCCAAAAACCUCUCUCAGUUCGGAUCGAAGUCUGCAACCCGACUUCGUGAAGCUGGAUUCGCUAGUAAUCGCGCAUCAGCCAUGGCGCGGUGAAUACGUUCCCGGGCCUUGUACACACCGCCCGUCAAGCCAUGAAAGCCGGGGGUACCUGAAGUACGUAACCGCAAGGAGCGUCCUAGGGUAAAACUGGUAAUUG